rnacentral:lncRNA from 1 species
CAGGAUGACAUGCACUUGGUGAUAAGAAAGCAGCUCUCUAGCACCGUAUUCAAGUACAAGCUCAUUGGGAUUAUUGGUGCUGUGACCAUGGCUGGCAUCAUGGCGGCAGACAGAAGUGAAUCACCUAGUUUGACCCAAGAGAGAGCCAACCUGAGCGAUGAGCAGUGCACACAGGUGACCUCCUUGUUGCAGUUGGUUCAUUCCUGCAGUGAGCAGUCUCCUCAGGCCUCUGCACUUUACUAUGAUGAAUUUGCC